CCUGCCAUCCCAAUACCUGUCAAUUUUGUUUUCUUUUUUGUGAUGGUCAUAAUUUAGAAGCAGAAACAAAUUUUGCUCAGAGGGGGUAUACUCAUUUGCAACAUGGCUUUUUAUAAUGUUGGUUAAAAAAACAUGCUUUCCUGUUUAGCAUUGCAGUAUUGCAGUGUUGCUGAAACACUACAUAAUAUCUUUUUUAUUUGUAAAGCGAUAAAGCUGGAUUUCCAUUUUUCAGAGAGGGUGUACUCCUUCAUGAUGUGCACUGUAACAUUGCUGUGUCCCAAGCAUGGUGCCCUAAAAUUGGGGGGAUUGUGUAUAAAAAGGGCUGUAAUUCAUACACUGUUCACCUGAUAUGCAUGUAAAUACUUUUUUUUAUUACAAAUCUCAAAUUGUGGAGUACAGAGGCAAAUCAAUAAAUGAUGGGUCUUUGUCCCAAACAUUAUGGAGGGCACUGUAUCCCUAAUAAUAUUUAAAUGCGUUUAAUUUCAUAUUGUUUGUUCUCUGCAGGUUUCUGCCUCUGCUGCUGACGUUGAGAGGUCCUUAACUUUGCCUGACAGUCCUCGAUUGAUUGUUCUCGAACUCGCCUCCGCAGGCGAGGACCCCGUGGCGACGGAACCUCUCCAAACUUCGCUAUCCCUCACUGACCCCCCUGUGACGACUUCACGGUCGCAGGAGGGCUAUGGAACUGCCAGUCUGCUACGCGGAAGGCUGACUUCAUUUCAGCCUACGCGUCCCUCUUCUCCCUACAUUUCCUUGCCCUCACUGAGACCUGGAUCACACCAGGCAACACUGCAACCCCUGCAGCCCUCUCCUCCUCCUUCUCCUUUUCUCACGCCCUCCGCCCGUCUGGCCGUGGUGGGGGCACAGGGCCCCUGGGAAGCUUCCUCGAUGAGCUCAACACCCUGCUCAGCUCCUUC